UUGAACGCUGGCGGCAGGCCUAACACAUGCAAGUCGAGCGGUUGAGAGUAGCUUGCUACUUGAUGCAGCGGCGGACGGGUGAGUAACGCGUGGGAAUCUGCCCAGUAGUGGGGGACAACAGCCGGAAACGGCUGCUAAUACCGCAUACGCCCUACGGGGGAAAGGGGGGAUCUUCGGACCUCUCGCUAUUGGAUGAGCCCGCGUCGGAUUGGCUAGUUGGUAGGGUAAAGGCCUACCAAGGCUACGAUCCGUAACUGGUCUGAGAGGAUGAUCAGUCACACUGGAACUGAGACACGGUCCAGACUCCUACGGGAGGCAGCAGUGGGGAAUAUUGGACAAUGGGGGAAACCCUGAUCCAGCCAUGCCGCGUGUGUGAAGAAGGCCUUAGGGUUGUAAAGCACUUUCAGUGGGGAGAAAGGUUUGUCACCUAAUACGUGAUGAAAUUGAUGUUACCCACAGAAGAAGCACCGGCUAACUCCGUGCCAGCAGCCGCGGUAA
rnacentral:rRNA from 1 species